rnacentral:lncRNA from 1 species
CUUUUGACUACAGUUACACAGCAAAUCCCAAAGAGCUUUGUAGUAGUUUAACGUACUACAACUUAUCAGAAAGAUGAGGCACUUGACAGUUACAUUAAGGAGCUAAAGUCAAUACGGCAGUUGUAGAUUUGCUAAUGCCACUGUAUUUUUCUGCUCAUAGCAUGGACCCAUUCAUAUGACUAAUUUAGGUACAGGCUUCUCCAGUCAGAAUGAGAUUGAAGGUGCAGGAUCGAAGCCAGCAAGUUCCUCAGGCAAAGAGAGAGAGAGGGACAGGCAGUUGAUGCCUCCACCAGCCUUUCCAGUGACUGGAAUAAAAACAGAGUCCGAUGAAAGGAAUGGGUCUGGGACCUUAACAGGGAGCCAUGGUGAGUGUGAUAUAGCUGGGGGAACAGGGGAGUGGCUAACUAAGACUGGUCUAAAGCUAUUAGUUUUCUCAGCUGGGCGCGGUGGCUCACGCCUGUAAUCCCAGCACUUUGGGAGGCCGAGGUGGGCGGAUCACCUAAGGUCAGGAGUUCAAGACCAGCUUGGCCAACAUAGUGAAAUCCCAUCUCUACUAAAAAUACAAAAACUAGCGGGCAUGGUGGUGGGCGCCUGUAAUCCCAGCUACUCAGGGGGUUGAGGCAGGAGAAUCGCUUCAACCUGGGAGGCAGAGGUUGCAGUGAGCCAAGAUCAGACCACUGCCCUCCAGCCUGGGCAAUAGAGCAAGACUCCAUCUCACAAAUAAAUAAAUACAUAAAUAAAGCUAUUAGUUUUCUAACCUGAUGUUCAUUCAGGUGUUUAAUCCAACCUCUAUAAUCUGUUGGCCAGUGAAAAUACUUUUGGGCCGGGCACGGUGGCUCACGCCUGUAAUCCCAGCACUUCGGGAGGCCAAGGUGGGCGGAUAACCUGAGGUCAGGAGUUUGAGACCAGCGUGGCUAACACGGUGAAACCCCGUCUCUACUAAAAAUAGAAAAAUUAAGCUGGGCAUGGUGGUGCAUGCCUGUAAUUCCAGCGACUUGGAAGGCUGAGGCAGGAGAAUCGCUUGAACUUGGGAGGUGGAGGUUGCAGUGAGCCAAGAUCACACCACUGCAUUCCAGCCUGGGCACUAGAGUGAGACUCUGUCUCAAAAAAAAGAAAGAGAAAAUAGUUUCUAAAAAAUUGUAUACAGACAACCUUUUAUUUCCAACAAACGUGUGUCGAGAGAGAGAGAGAGAGAAAAUAGUUUUAAAAAAUUGUAUACAGACAACCUUUCCUUUCCAACCAACGUGUGUCGAGAGAAAAUAGUUUUAAAAAAAUUGUAUACAGACAACCUUUCAUUUCCAACCAACGUGUGUCGAGACAGAGAGAAAAAAUAGUUUUAAAAAAAUUGUAUACAGACAACCUUUUGUUUCCAACCAACGUGUAUCUAGAAAAGAGUUAGUCGACUUAUUUUAUACAUAGCAUCAGUGAAUACUAAUGAGUGGUAGGUCAUUUCAAAAUCCUGUUGCCUAUAUUAUGUGAAUACCAGGAGGUCAUCUGAUACGGACUUAAUAAAGGUUGAUUUUGCUUUAUAUUGGGAGCUGAGCCACACCUCCCCUUAUAACUCUUGGUCAGUAAUGGUCAGUUUGUGGCUGUUAGGAAAAUGUUGCUUUUUAGCAUUCCAGAACUCUAAAUCCUGUAGAGGUACAUGGGAUAUUUUAU